ACUGAGCAGUGUGGAAGUAAGAAGGAGAAGCCAUCUUAGUGAGAGCUUUGCCUUCGUCCUUGGGGUUGGCGAGCUGUGCUCAGAUUGAGUGGAGACCUCUUGAAUGAAGAUUUACAGACAACUAUGAUUGCCACUGGACAUUCUGAUUCCUGCAUUACAUCCUUUUUGCUGAGAGAUGUGACUGUAUUUCAAAGGAGUGAGUCAUGGGGAUUCAAGACUCUCAAAAAUACUGCAUCAGCAGAAAUGAGCAAUGCAGGGACAGAGGAGGGCAGGACUGAGGAACGAUGCUGAAAUGGGAACACUGAAAGUCGGUUCUAUUCUUAAGAACACUUCACACCAUAAAACCAUGCCCCAGGAUUGCUGCCAGCCUUAAAGGUUCUUAGCAGUACCACAAGCUGGUGGUGCUCUUCAUUCUGUUGCAGGCAUGAGCGGGAGGCCUCUGGCAAUAAGGAAGGAGGAAUGAAAAGGCAUUGGAAGAAUAAUAUCAUUCAAGUGAUGGAAAAAUGUCCUCAUAGUACAGAGUGGCUGACAAGACACACACUAUAGUAUCAGCCUUUAUCCUCCUGUUAAGCUGGCUGCCUCAAAUCAAAAGCAACUGCAGGCUGGGGUUUCAUAUUUUUUGUGUAGAAAAGAUUGCAGUUAUACCUGGAAUAACUUACAACUCAGGUUAACUUUUCAGUGAAACUGAGUUCAAAGAGCUUAUAAACAGAAUUCUUGAUUGCAAAAUUGAUUUUAAAUGGUAUAAAGUAGUUCUAUUGGCACUAUGCUAUUUUAGCAAGGACAACAGGACCCCUAAGGCCAACAUUUCUAAGGCAAUUUGUCCAAGAAAGAAACCUCUUGUAAUGAACCACUUUAUAAAGUUAAUAUUGUUAGCUUUCACUGUAAUUUUAACUUUCCUAUAUAAAAUACAUCUUCAGCUAGGAAGUCAUCACUUAGAUUGUGUACCAUUGGCCUCAUGACUUCAUAUAUUUUAGAAGUUCCCUCCUAUAGUGUUUUCACAAAUUUAGCUUCAUGAUCCUUUUCCAAAUGGUCCCUUCUUAAAAUUUGUGUUUCUUGCUGAAUGUCGAGCUGCAAUAAGAAAACACUCCACCGCAUUUACCAAAAUUCGUUGGUAUUGCAGCCUGGUGGUUUUUAUUACUUUCCUUUAACGUUCAUUUGAAUAAGAUAGUAAAUUGGGAAAAACAGUACUAAAACCAGAAGUUGCAACAUGGUUUGUGAGGACACAAACCUAUAAAUGAGCAUCAAAGCCAGGAACCAGGGAAACUAGAUAUCAUCUGUCUGCAUGCUUGAGUCUAUCUUUCUUCUCCUUCAGAAUCAUAUCUGACUUGAAAGACACUCAUACAGCAAAAUAAAAUAAUUUUAAAAAUCA
rnacentral:lncRNA from 1 species